CGUAAGCAGCACCGGGGCCGGGCCCAGCUGCGGACCCGGAGGCCAGCGGGACGACCCCAGGCCCGGCAAGCGGCAGCGGCCCUGGGUACUCGGGGGACCGAAGCGGCAUUAGGGUUGCCACACGCCCGCCGCCGCGUCUUUCGGAAGCACGGCCUGUGGGACGGAUGAAGGCCGAGAUCGCGGCGCGCCGGGCAGGGCCGCGAGCUGCCGCCGGACCCUCCGCUCCCUCCCCCUCCCGUGUCGUAAAGCGCUCCGGAGAAUGACUGUCACCGGACAGACCGCCUCUGCACGACGUGAAGACUCGCUGUCGCUGUCGCUCGGGAGGAAGAAGGAGGGCUGCGGGAGCGAGCGCUGUCAGCAGCACAGGUGGCUCAGGUCCCAGGAAGCCAGUUGCAAACCAGAGUGUUGGGCUUGGGAAGAACCCAUCGUCCUUGGCCUGCAGGCCUGUGACUCCUACUCUUGCUGCUGAUUCUACAGACAGCCUCUUCCUCGAGUGUAUUUUCCCCCAGCAAUUACACUCCUCCACUGAAAUCUAAAUUUUCCAUACUGCUGCCUGCUACUAAUAAAAACCGUCUACCUUGCACUAUUAAACAGUCGAAUCGCG